UCGGACGUGGUGCACGGCGCACACCCGCUUUCUAUAGUAUAGCUUUCUAAGACUGACAGCGGGAGCUCUGGGUUCGACUCCCAGCGUCCGAA